rnacentral:lncRNA from 1 species
AUUUAUUAAAAAGUGGAGGCAGUGGAAACUUGUUACCCAUGAAGAUGGAAUCACGAAUUGCUGCUCCUGUGGGACCAUCAGUUCAUCUUGUUCGUUUUGCACCAGUGAUAAAAUUCCUCACGUGGAGAGGCACAGCUGAAGUCUGUCUGGGUGAUGGCAGGAACAGCUGGAGAUGUGCUCUGUGUCUCAGAUAUUUAAAAAGAGAGAAUCAGCUUCUUUUUCCAUAGUUCUGAAAAGGUCUGGAGCUGAACAAGAAAACAAGCUGUUGGUCAUACUUUCCAUCUGAUCCGCAGGUUUAAUGUGUAAAACAGGAAAAUUCCUCUUCGUAAAAUUAUUCUCAAGCGUGCCUUAAGCAUAUUGUGUCAUUUUUAGGAUGACUGAAAAAUUCUGAAUUAAAACCAACCAAGCAAGCAAUCAACCAACCACCAACAUGUUUAUGUAAAACAAAACAGAAAAAAAUAUUUAGGUCUUGUUAAUGAUCCAGAGUGUUUUACUGGAACCUGUAUCAACAAAUCAAAUGAAGGGAGGUUUGGAAAUUUGACAUGGUAUGUAAACAGAGCUGUACCAGGGCAGAUGGUAAGAAAAUACUUUCUUCAUCCUUUUUGAAAGAGAAUGGGAAAAUCCAGUGUGAAGUUACUUUAACCUAAUUUUUAUUUUGGUUUUCUUUUGCAUUGCCUGGAAACGAAGUAUCCGAUAUAACACUGUCUUUCCAUAGUGUCUGUAUGAUAAUGUUCCUGACAAAUACAAACCAGGUGUUACAGUAGAAGUUGUGACUGUAUUCAGAACCAAUGAAGAGUGACAAAAAAGGAGGAAAAAGAUGGUAUAACUUUAGCAUGCAAACAUUCUGGGAUUUCGACACAAGUGUGGAGGAGAGCACUACACCCUCAGCUUUGGUGGUAGCUGGCAUAAUGGUCCACUUGAGAUUUGAAGCAGAAAACUUCAUUGGAGGACAGGCUGCAUAUUGCAACAAGAUCCUACAGUUGCAAAAUACCUGGAUUGCUUGGCACUUGGCACAGGCAUAUGUGAUGACUUGAGGGGCCAUUUUGACACACUUCUUCAGCUUUUGGAGGGGUAAAGGCUGAAUUCUGUUGACAGCUGAGUAACACUGUUACCUGCCAGUGUGAUUACAGCAGUGUCCGCCUUCAUUUUCAAAUCCAAUUUGCAUUUAAUAAAAUGAAAGAUGAAAGCA